CCUACGGGUGGCAGCAGUGAGGAAUAUUGGUCAAUGGCCGGAAGGCUGAACCAGCCAAGCCGCGUGAAGGAAGAAGGUGCCAAGGAUUGUAAACUUCUUUUGUCAAGGGACAAAAUCAGGCACGAGAGCCUGACCGAGGGUACUUGAAGAAAAAGCAUCGGCUAACUCCGUGCCAGCAGCCGCGGUAAUACGGAGGAUGCGAGCGUUAUCCGGAUUUAUUGGGUUGAAAGGGUGCGUAGGCGGACUGUUAAGUCAGCGGUAAAAGCCCGGGGCUCAACCCCGGCGUGCCGUUGAAAAUGGCUGUCUUGAGCUUUCGUGAGGUAUGCGGAAUGCGCAGUGUCGCGGU
rnacentral:rRNA from 1 species